rnacentral:rRNA from 1 species
GAGUUUGAUCGUGGCUCAGAACGAACGCUGGCGGCAGGCUUAACACAUGCAAGUCGAACGCCCCGCAAGGGGAGUGGCAGACGGGUGAGUAACACGUGGGAACGUGCCCUAAGGUUCGGAAUAGCUCCGGGAAACUGGAAUUAAUACCGAAUGUGACCGAGAGGUGAAAGAUUUAUCGCCUUGGGAUCGGCCCGCGUCAGAUUAGCUAGUUGGUGGGGUAAUGGCCUACCAAGGCGACGAUCUGUAGCUGUUCUGAGAGGAAGAUCAGCCACACUGGGACUGAGACACGGCCCAGACUCCUACGGGAGGCAGCAGUGGGGAAUCUUGGACAAUGGGCGCAAGCCUGAUCCAGCCAUGCCGCGUGAGUGAUGAAGGCCUUCGGUUGUAAG